GGGCCCGUAGCUCAACCGCAGAGCGCUGCCCUUGCAAGGCAGAGGCUUCGGGUUCAAAUCCCGACGGGUCCA
rnacentral:tRNA from 1 species